AACGUUGACCUCGAAUCAGGUAGGACUACCCGCUGAACUUAAGCAUAUCAAUAAGCGGAGGAA
rnacentral:rRNA from 1 species